rnacentral:lncRNA from 1 species
CAGGUCUAAAAUGCUGUGGCUGCUGAGAACAAUUUGCCUUAUCCAUGUACUUGGAAAAAUAUUUUGUUUAUUUGGACCAGACAAGAAUCCUGAAUCUCACAUGAAUGUUAGUGAGAUCAUUAAACACUGGGAAUAUCCAAGCGAAGAAUAUGAGGUUGUGACUGAUGAUGGUUACAUUCUUCCAAUUAACCGAAUUCCUCAUGGGAAGAACAAUGCUAAUAGUUCAGCCCCAAAGAUGGUAGUAUUUUGUAUUCAUGACUUGUUUUCAACUGCUGGUAUAUGGGUUUCCAAUCCUCCUGACAACAGCCUUGCCUUCAUCUUAGCAGAUGCUGGGUAUGAUGUGUGGUUGGGAAACAGCAGAGGAAGUACAUGGGCAAAGAAACAUGUUACACUCAACCAAGAUUCUAAAGAAUUCUGGGUGUUUAGUUAUGAUCAAAUGAUAAAAUUUGACCUUCCAGCCAUCAUUAAUUUCAUUCUGGAAAAAAACAGGACAAAAGCAGAUUUACUUACUGGCCAUUCUCAAGGAACCCUAAUCGCUCUGGGGGCAUUUGCAACAAAUCAAGAACUGGCUGAAAAGAUUAAACUCAGGAUUUUAAUAGCUCCCGUUCAUACUGUUAAAUAUGUCAAAGGUUCUGGGCGCCUUCCAGCUUAUUUCACUCCAACGGCUUUCAAGGUUACUUUUGGUGAAAAAGAAUUCUUACCUACCGUACUUUUCAAUAGGCUGCCUCAACAUGUGUGCGAUAUUAAGUUGGUCAAUGCUGGGUGUGCUACUGUACUGGGCUCACUGACUGGAUAUUCUCCAGAGCAGUGAAAUAUGAGCCGUGUUGAUGUGUACAUAACACACUGUGUAGCAGAAUCAUCAACUCAAAUUGUUAGACAUUAUGGGCAGGCAGUUAGAAGUGGUGUAUUUCAGGCUUAUGAUUGGGGAAGUCCAUCUCUGAAUAUGCAGCACUACAAUCAGACUACUCCUUCUGUAUACAAUGUGGAAGACAUGAAGGUUCCAACUGCCAUGUUUACUGUUUAAAAGAUUUUUUGUCUAACCCAGAAGAUGUUGCAAACUUGGUACCCAAAAUCUCCAACCUCACAUACCAUAAGAAUAUUUCUGAUUUUACUCAUCUUGAUUUUAUAGCAGGAUUAAAUGCUAGGGAAGAGGUUUCUGGGGAAAUUUUAACAAUUCUUAGGAAAUAUGAUGGUGACAUACAGAUUUAACUUUUUGCAUGUUUUUAAACAUUUCUGAAAGUCUCCUGCUAUGUGCAAAUAUUUUUUUGCUUGGCAUUUUCCUCCUUAAUUAUCUUUUUUAAAAGCUAUUGGUUCAUUUGUUGGAUCAUUUGCAUUAGUGAAAUCUAUAACCAUCAAGAGAAUACUUCAUCUUGUGACUGUUUUUAAUUUAUCUAAAUUUAU